rnacentral:rRNA from 1 species
UGGGGAAUAUUGCACAAUGGGCGCAAGCCUGAUGCAGCAACGCCGCGUGAGGGACGACGGCCUUCGGGUUGUAAACCUCUUUUAGUAGGGAAGAAGGGAGCUUGCUCUUGACGGUACCUGCAGAAAAAGCACCGGCUAACUACGUGCCAGCAGCCGCGGUAAUACGUAGGGUGCAAGCGUUAUCCGGAAUUAUUGGGCGUAAAGAGCUCGUAGGCGGUUUGUCGCGUCUGCUGUGAAAACUGGGGGCUCAACCCCCAGCCUGCAGUGGGUACGGGCAGACUAGAGUGCGGUAGGGGAGAUUGGAAUUCCUGGUGUAGCGGUGGAAUGCGCAGAUAUCAGGAGGAACACCAAUGGCGAAGGCAGAUCUCUGGGCCGUAACUGACGCUGAGGAGCGAAAGCAUGGGGAGCGAACA